UAAUAAAAUAGCAACUUCUUGUGAGUUUAAAAUUUAGUAGUUGUUAUAAUUUUAGUCCUAUUUUUUCAAGCAAUUUCCAAUAUAUUUUCACCUUUUCUCUAUUUAUAGAAAUCUUACACCCAUUUCAUUUGCUCUUGCUGUCGAUUACGAUUUAAAAUUUAAAUCAUGUCGCAUUAAAUCAAACUGUGCAUUCCGAUAAAUCAAAUGAUGUCGAACCAAUGAUGUGAAACAGAAGGAGUAAAAGCAGAAGGAAUCUGCAAACCCAAUUCCAUUUGCUUUGAGCCGGGCCAAAAGGUGUCCGAGAAGAAUCACCCUCAACGGGUAUAGAAAUGGGAAUGGGAAGUGUGAGGCGGGUCGGAUGUAAAGCGAAAUGUGAGUGUGCAAGAUUUGUAUAUACCACCUUCUUGUUUGCGUCAUUUGCCUGUUUUGUGUGAAGCCGCAGCUCACUCUGGCCGAAAGCAGUUUGGAUCGCUCUUUAGAAGAAGUCUCUGAUUGAUGGCCGUCUUGGGCAGACAAUUAUAUAAAUUGGCAGCGGCUUGCGUGUAAUUACUGAUCGAUUUUUGUUCUUUUCGGUGUUAUAUGCAAAUUGACAGGUGAACUGGGCUUUGAAAAUCUUGACAACUCACGGAAUGCAUGGAAAGCUCAACUAUGUCACGCUGCGAACAACUUUCUGAGCCGAUUACUGUAAUUAACUUGUUCUAAUCGGUUUGGACUAGGUGAUGAGGCCAAACUCAAAGUGUGUGGCGAGUUAAGCUAAUUAAAACUUAUGUAAGCGGAUAAUCAGCGGGUUUCAAGUGCACAAAAUGUUUGCUGCUAUAAGUGAUGCCAAAAAUUUAAAUUUAUUUUGACAAUAUAUCUCUUUACAGUCUA